AGAGUUUGAUCAUGGCUCAGAUUGAACGCUGGCGGCAUGCCUAAGACAUGCAAGUCGAACGGCAGCACAGCAGAGCUUGCUCUGUGGGUGGCGAGUGGCGGACGGGUGAGUAAUGCAUCGGGACCUACCUGAACGUGGGGGAUAACGUAGGGAAACUUACGCUAAUACCGCAUACGUCCUACGGGAGAAAGCGGGGGACCUUCGGGACCUCGCGCGGUCRGAYGGACCGAUGUUCGAUUAGCUAGUUGGUAGAGGUAAUGGCUUACCAAGGCGACGAUCGAUAGCUGGUCUGAGAGGAUGAUCAGCCACACUGGRACUGAGACACGGYCCAGACUCCUACGGGAGGCAGCAGUGGGGAAUAUUGGACAAUGGGCGCAAGCCUGAUCCAGCAAUGCCGCGUGUGUGAAGAAGGCCUUCGGGUUGUAAAGCACUUUUAUCGGGAACGAAAUACCVCGGGUUAAUA
rnacentral:rRNA from 1 species